AAUCAACGCUGGCGGCGUGCCUAACACAUGCAAGUCGAACGCGAAGGGCUUCGGUCCUGAGUAGAGUGGCGUCCGGGUGAGUAACGCGUGGGUAAUCUACCCUUGGGUGGGGAAGUAACCAGUCGAAAGAUUGGCUAAUACCGCAUAAUGCAGCGGCUCGACAUCGAGACAGUUGUUAAAGCAGCAAUGCGCCAGAGGAGGAGCCUGCGUCUGAUUAGCUUGUUGGCGGGGUAACGGCCCACCAAGGCUACGAUCAGUAGCUGGUCUGAGAGGACGGCCAGCCACAAUGGCACUGAAACACGGGCCAUACUCCUACGGGAGGCAGCAGUGGGGAAUAUUGACAAUGGGCNCAAGCCUGAUCCAGCGAUGCCG
rnacentral:rRNA from 1 species